rnacentral:rRNA from 1 species
GCGCUACCAUGCAGUCGGACGGUAGCACAGAGGAGCUUGCUCCUUGGGUGACGAGUGGCGGACGGGUGAGUAAUGUCUGGGGAUCUGCCCGAUAGAGGGGGAUAACCACUGGAAACGGUGGCUAAUACCGCAUAACGUCGCAAGACCAAAGAGGGGGACCUUCGGGCCUCUCACUAUCGGAUGAACCCAGAUGGGAUUAGCUAGUAGGCGGGGUAAUGGCCCACCUAGGCGACGAUCCCUAGCUGGUCUGAGAGGAUGACCAGCCACACUGGAACUGAGACACGGUCCAGACUCCUACGGGAGGCAGCAGUGGGGAAUAUUGCACAAUGGGCGCAAGCCUGAUGCAGCCAUGCCGCGUGUAUGAAGAAGGCCUUCGGGUUGUAAAGUACUUUCAGCGGGGAGGAAGGCGGUGAGGUU